rnacentral:rRNA from 1 species
CUAUACAUGCAGUCGAGCGAACGGACGAGAAGCUUGCUUCUCUGAUGUUAGCGGCGGACGGGUGAGUAACACGUGGAUAACCUACCUAUAAGACUGGGAUAACUUCGGGAAACCGGAGCUAAUACCGGAUAAUAUUUUGAACCGCAUGGUUCAAAAGUGAAAGACGGUCUUGCUGUCACUUAUAGAUGGAUCCGCGCUGCAUUAGCUAGUUGGUAAGGUAACGGCUUACCAAGGCAACGAUGCAUAGCCGACCUGAGAGGGUGAUCGGCCACACUGGAACUGAGACACGGUCCAGACUCCUACGGGAGGCAGCAGUAGGGAAUCUUCCGCAAUGGGCGAAAGCCUGACGGAGCAACGCCGCGUGAGUGAUGAAGGUCUUCGGAUCGUAAAACUCUGUUAUUAGGGAAGAACAUAUGUGUAAGUAACUGUGCACAUCUUGACGGUACCUAAUCAGAAAGCCACGGCUAACUACGUGCCAGCAGCCGCGGUAAUACGUAGGUGGCAAGCGUUAUCCGGAAUUAUUGGGCGUAAAGCGCGCGUAGGCGGUUUUUUAAGUCUGAUGUGAAAGCCCACGGCUCAACCGUGGAGGGUCAUUGGAAACUGGAAAACUUGAGUGCAGAAGAGGAAAGUGGAAUUCCAUGUGUAGCGGUGAAAUGCGCAGAGAUAUGGAGGAACACCAGUGGCGAAGGCGACUUUCUGGUCUGUAACUGACGCUGAUGUGCGAAAGCGUGGGGAUCAAACAGGAUUAGAUACCCUGGUAGUCCACGCCGUAAACGAUGAGUGCUAAGUGUUAGGGGGUUUCCGCCCCUUAGUGCUGCAGCUAACGCAUUAAGCACUCCGCCUGGGGAGUACGACCGCAAGGUUGAAACUCAAAGGAAUUGACGGGGACCCGCACAAGCGGUGGAGCAUGUGGUUUAAUUCGAAGCAACGCGAAGAACCUUACCAAAUCUUGACAUCCUUUGACAACUCUAGAGAUAGAGCCUUCCCCUUCGGGGGACAAAGUGACAGGUGGUGCAUGGUUGUCGUCAGCUC